CGUAGGGUGCGAGCGUUAAUCGGAAUUACUGGGCGUAAAGCAUGCGCAGGCGGUUAUAUAAGACAGAUGUGAAAUCCCCGGGCUCAACCUGGGAACUGCAUUUGUGACUGUAUAGCUAGAGUACGGCAGAGGGGGAUGGAAUUCCGCGUGUAGCAGUGAAAUGCGUAGAUAUGCGGAGGAACACCGAUGGCGGAGGCAAUCCCCUGGGCCUGUACUGACGCUCAUGCACGAAAGCGUGGGGAGCAAACAGGAUUAGAUACCCUGGUAGUCCACGCCCUAAACGAUGUCAACUGGUUGUUGGGUCUUCACUGACCCAGUAACGAAGCUAACGCGUGAAGUUGACCGCCUGGGGAGUACGGCCGCAAGGUUG
rnacentral:rRNA from 1 species